rnacentral:rRNA from 1 species
CCUACGGGAGGCAGCAGUAGGGAAUCUUCCGCAAUGGACGAAAGUCUGACGGAGCAACGCCGCGUGAACGAUGAAGGCCUUCGGGUCGUAAAGUUCUGUUGUUAGGGAAGAACAAGUGCUAGUUGAAUAAGCUGGCACCUUGACGGUACCUAACCAGAAAGCCACGGCUAACUACGUGCCAGCAGCCGCGGUAAUACGUAGGUGGCAAGCGUUGUCCGGAAUUAUUGGGCGUAAAGCGCGCGCAGGCGGUUUCUUAAGUCUGAUGUGAAAGCCCCCGGCUCAACCGGGGAGGGUCAUUGGAAACUGGGAAACUUGAGUGCAGAAGAGGAAAGUGGAAUUCCAAGUGUAGCGGUGAAAUGCGUAGAGAUUUGGAGGAACACCAGUGGCGAAGGCGACUUUCUGGUCUGUAACUGACGCUGAGGCGCGAAAGCGUGGGGAGCAAACAGGAUUAGAUACCCUGGUAGUCCACGCUGUAAACGAUGAGUGCUAAGUGUUAGAGGGUUUCCGCCCUUUAGUGCUGAAGUUAACGCAUUAAGCACUCCGCCUGGGGAUACGGUCGCAAGACUGAAAACUCAAAAGAUAGUACGGCGNGNGAGAGCGACGACGACGACGACGGAGGAGGAG